ACGCAGGCGGUCUGUCAAGUCGGAUGUGAAAUCCCCGGGCUCAACCUGGGAACUGCAUUCGAAACUGGCAGGCUAGAGUCUUGUAGAGGGGGGUAGAAUUCCAGGUGUAGCGGUGAAAUGCGUAGAGAUCUGGAGGAAUACCGGUGGCGAAGGCGGCCCCCUGGACAAAGACUGACGCUCAGGUGCGAAAGCGUGGGGAGCAAACAGGAUUAGAUACCCUGGUAGUCCACGCCGUAAACGAUGUCGAUUUGGAGGUUGUGCCCUUGAGGCGUGGCUUCCGGAGCUAACGCGUUAAAUCGACCGCCUGGGGAGUACGGCCGCAAGGUUAAAACUCAAAUGAAUUGACGGGGGCCCGCACAAGCGGUGGAGCAUGUGGUUUAAUUCGAU
rnacentral:rRNA from 1 species